rnacentral:rRNA from 1 species
CAGCGCCACAAGUAGGGGCCAUGAUUAUUGGGCCUAAAGCGUUCGUAGCAGGUUUGGAAAAUCUUUUGUGAAAUCGUUGGGCUUAACUCAACGGCGUGCAGAAGACACUACCAAACUAGAGACCGGGAGGGGUUAGAGGAAUUCUGGGGGGAGCGGUAAAAUGCUAUAAUCCCUUGAAGACCACCUGUGGCGAAGGCGUCUAACCAGAACGGGUCUGACUGUGAGGAACGAAAGCCAGGGGAGCAAACCGGAUUAGAGACCCGAGUAGUCC